rnacentral:rRNA from 1 species
GGGGAAUCUUCCGCAAUGGGCGAAAGCCUGACGGAGCAAGACCGCGUGGGGGAGGAAGGCUCUAGGGUUGUAAACCCCUUUUCUUUGGGAAGAAGUUCUGACGGUACCAAAGGAAUCAGCCUCGGCUAACUCCGUGCCAGCAGCCGCGGUAAUACGGAGGAGGCAAGCGUUAUCCGGAAUGAUUGGGCGUAAAGCGUCCGCAGGUGGCCAUGUAAGUCUGCUGUCAAAACCCAGGGCUCAACUCUGGUCAGGCAGUGGAAACUACGUAGCUAGAGUCUGGUAGGGGCAAAGGGAAUUCCCGGUGUAGCGGUGAAAUGCGUAGAGAUCGGGAAGAACAUCGGUGGCGAAAGCGCUUUGCUAGACCAGAACUGACACUCAGGGACGAAAGCUAGGG